AGGAUGAUCAGCCACACUGGGACUGAGACACGGCCCAGACUCCCUUAGGAGGCAGCAGUGAGGAAUCUUGGACAAUGGGCGAAAGCCUGAUCCAGCAAUAUUACGUGAGUGAUGACAGCUAUUUGGUUGUAAAGCUCUUUCACCGAGGAGGACAAUGACAGUACUCGAAGAAGAAGUCCCGGCUAACUCCGUGCCAGCAGCCGCGGUAAUACGGGGGGGACAAGUGUUAUUCGGAAUGACUGGGUGUAAAGAGUCUGUAGGCGGUUUUUUAAGUUGAAAUAUAAAUCUUGUAGCUUGACUUCAAGAAAGGUUUCAAAACUGAAAGACUAGAGUUUGAUAGGGGAAAGUAGAAUUUCUAAUGGAGGGAUAAAAUUCAUAGAGAUUAGAAGGAAUACCAGAGGCGAAGGCGACUUUCUGGAUCAAAACUGACGCUGAGAGACGAAAGCAUGGGUAGCGAACAGGAUUAGAUACCCUGGUAGUCCAUAGCUGUAAACGAUGAGUGCUCGUAUUUAGGGUCAAUCUUAGAUACUAAGCUAACGCGUUAAGCACUCCACCUGGGGAGUACGGUCGCAAGACUGAAACUCAAAGGAAUUGACGGGGGCCCACACAAGCGGUGGAGCAUGUGGUUUAAUUCGACAAUACGCGCAGAACCUUACCAGCCCUUGACAUGUAAGUGGAGGUCUAUGAAAAUAGGUCUUUUCAUGCUUAUACAGGCGCUGCAUGGCUGUCGUCAGCUCGUGUCGUGAGAUGUUGGGUUAAGUCCUUUAACGAGCGCAACCCUCUUUAUCUGUUGCUAUCACCUUAAGGUGAGCACUCUGAUAAAACUGCCAGUGAUAAACUGGAGGAAGGUGGGGAUGACGUCAAGUCCUCAUGGCCCUUAU
rnacentral:rRNA from 1 species